rnacentral:antisense_RNA from 1 species
UUUUAUGGCUAGGCGGGCGGGAGCGCUCACGCGCGCCGUUUUCCUUUGGGACGGUAAGGCCAAUCCUGCUCGUCUGGCCGCCAGA